AGUAGUAAUACCGCUCUGAUAGAAUAUGGAUCCGGAAACACUCGAAGGAUAAUAAAGGCUCUUCAUACCUCACACCUAUUCAAAACGUCCCCGGCGUACAGCGCAGGUAACAUGUCUCUCCAAAUAUCUGAGCUUGGGAAUACGGGGAAACCCAACCCCUAGGGUUAUAUGGAUAAAUUGAGAGGA
rnacentral:ribozyme from 1 species